rnacentral:misc_RNA from 1 species
UUUCCGUAGGUGAACCUGCGGAAGGAUCAUUGCACACACGAUGCAGCAAACUAGCGAACUGUGUUUGUCCCCCACCUACCCCAAACACGAGGGGCCGCAUCUGGAGGUGCGGCUGUCGACGGCAAGGUCCCGACCUUCGGGUCCCCGCAGUGGUUCCCGCAAGUGGGCUGAUCAUGUCGCCGUCUGGGUGUCCCGCGCGGGCUAUCGCCUUGCCUUAGGGUUGGGCGGCGCGGGCAUUCUCCUCCCUUCGAUGGCGUCGUCCCCUCCUCCGGGAGAGCGACACGCAUCGAGAGCCGUUUACAACGUUGCACCUUGUACGACACCAGUGUCUGAGUAUACAUGUGUCCCGGUUCCGCUGCUGCACUCGGGUGGUGCGGGAUUAGUCCAUAGGAACAAGAGUAAAUAAAAACAACUCUCAGCAACGGAUAUCUUGGCUCUU